rnacentral:lncRNA from 1 species
UCACUGCAAGUCUCGCUGCAGUACGUCACUGAUAAAGCCACUCAACGUUGGGGAUGACUUCUUUCGGCUCGAGCUACGGAGUUGCUUCUGCCCAACCCGAUUUUGGAACUCGUUCACUCACCGGUACAGGAGUACGGCGUUUACCGUAGGGCCACCGGCAAUAACUGCCAGAAGAAGUUGUGGGAUUCCCUGGAACUGGAGCAACCAACAGUUUGUGUGCACCAUGUGGGUAAUGGGAAUCGAACCUGGGUCCUCUAUAAGACUGGCCAGUGCUCUUAACUACUGAGGUGCAUUUCUUUCGGAAUUGAUUCACAUAACUAUUAUGCUAUACUGUUUGAAGUAUUUAUUAGAAAAACAUCAGAAAGAGAUUUGGACCACUUUCAUUUACAUGAAGAAAUAUCUUAGGGUUUCUUUUCAGGUAUCUUUGAGUAUCUUCUGACACUAGAAGAUCCUGUAAACUCUACAGACUUCAACAGAAUUGAAGAACCUGGACAGAGCAGAGUUACCAACAAGAGAGCCCAGGGAUAGCAUUAACAUGGUGGUUACUCAAGACCUAACUCAGCCAGGGAGACAUACCAAGGCCUAUGAGGUGAAGGGAAAAGAAGGGUGACCCAAAGGGCAGGAAUUUUUUAUCCUGAACUUUUGAGCCUUAUAGAAAAACAUAAUUUGUUGGGCAUGUUUUCUGACCCUCAUACAGUUUUUACAACCAUUUGAAGAUAUAGUUCUAGCUCUAGUAGGCUCUACAGGAAGGUAUAUCAAACUUUUUAACAGAACACUUUAUUAUUUUAAAUAUAUGAGUAUUUCACCUGCAUAGGCGCACAGUACCCACAGAGACUAGAAGAGGGUGGCAGAUCUCCUGAGACUGGAGUUAAUGCUUGUGAGCUGCCAUGUGGAUGCUGGAAAUCAAACCCAGGUCCUUUGGAAGGCAGGCAGGUGCUCUUAAUCAUGGAAGCAUCUCUUCAGCUCCUACCCUAGUUCUUUAAUUUUGUUUUAAAUUUUUGAGGUAGGGUUUUGCUAAGUUACUUGGGCUGGCCUUGGACUAGUAACCAUUCUGUGUCAGCCUUCUGGGAUUAGAGGUAUGUGCUAGCAUGUCUAGCAUCUUUCUAUUUCUUUGGUUUUCCUUCUAAUUAAUUAAAAAAUACAUUAUCUUCUAAAUCUUUUAUUGUACAUCAUGAAUGCUAUUUCAGUUUUUGUUUAAAUAAGCUUAAAUGUAAACAUCACUAUAAGUACACCACUAUUUCUAUUGUGCAGUUUCAGUGAUACAAUAUCUUAUCACUUACAGAGUAUUAGUAAUAGUUUAAUUUAAAAAAAAUCAUUUAUUGUUGUUUUUUGUCUCACCCCCCUCCCCUCCCCCAAUCUCUGGAGCUGAGGACCAAACCCAGGGCCUUGUGCUUGCUAAGCAAAUGCUCUACCGCUGAGCUAAAUCUCCAACCCCUAGUUUAAUUUUGUUUUAGAAAGACUCUUACUUAAUGUACUUGCUGUGUGUGAUGGUUUGUAUAUUCUUGGACCAGGGAGUGGCAACAUUUGGAGGUGUGGCCUUGUUGGAAUAGGUGUGACCUGGUUGGAGUAGGUGUGUCACUGUGGGUGUGGGUAUGAGACCCUCACCCUAGUUGCCUGGAAGUCAGUCUUCCACUAGCAGCCUUUGGAUGAAGACAUAGAACUCUCAGCUCUUCCUGUGCCAUGCCUGCCUGGAUACUGCCAUGCUCCCACCGUGAUGGUAAUGGACUGAACCUCUGAACCUGUAAGCCAGCCCCAAUUAAAUGUUGUUUUUUAUAAGAAAAAAAAAAAAAAAAAA